GACAGAGGGUGCAAACGUUGUUCGGAAUUACUGGGCAUAAAGGGCACGUAGGUGGUUCGCUAAGUUACGUGUGAAAUCCCCCGGCUCAACCGGGGAAUUGCGCGUGAUACUGGCGGACUCGAGGCGGGUAGGGGUGAGCGGAACUCCAGGUGGAGCGGUGAAAUGCGUAGAUAUCAGGAGGAACACCGGUGGUGUAGACGGCUUUCUGGACCGUAACUGACGCUGAGACACGAAAGCGUGGGUAGCAAACAGG
rnacentral:rRNA from 1 species